rnacentral:rRNA from 1 species
UACGUAGGGUGCAAGCGUUAAUCGGAAUUACUGGGCGUAAAGCGUGCGCAGGCGGUGAUGUAAGACAGGUGUGAAAUCCCCGGGCUUAACCUGGGAACUGCAUUUGUGACUGCAUAGCUAGAGUACGGUAGAGGGGGAUGGAAUUCCGCGUGUAGCAGUGAAAUGCGUAGAUAUGCGGAGGAACACCGAUGGCGAAGGCAAUCCCCUGGACCUGUACUGACGCUCAUGCACGAAAGCGUGGGGA